AUGCUUAUUUUGGGAGCACAUAUACUAAAAUUGGGAUGAUACAGAGAUUAGCAUGGCCCCCGAGCAAGGAUGACAUGCAAAUUUGUGAAGAAGAUAUUAUAGCC
ensembl:snRNA U6 U6 spliceosomal RNA